CGGGCGGAAGCGACUAGACCUAUAUACACAAAAUGAAUUCCUCCCAAAACCUGGAAGUCACAAGUAUAGAGCUGCUAAAAAAAGUACAAGUCCUAAAAGUUGACCAAAGAAACAAGUUGUCUCAAAAGGCAAAAGACAAGCAAAAGUAAGUACAGAAGGAGACGGGCAAAUCCAGGACGUUGUGUGCUUACCCUUGCCUUCGAUCACAACCGCAGCUGGCUCGAAUCAACGUCGGUAGCUAGUACUCGGACCUGCAUCACGAAAAUAGAUGCAGAGUGUAGUAUGAGUACCAAAUCAACAGGUACCCAGUAGGCAUCAGGCCGACUGAGCAAGAUAAGCAAAAGUGAACUGAAAUGCUAAUAAAGGGUCACAAUCAAGGGUAAUAGAGUAGUAAAUGUGGGUAUAUACACGAGCAUACAGGCAACAAAGACAAAAGGUACUAUAGCUAAUGAGUCAACCUAUAUGGGCUGGACCACGGACUCGAACCGGGUACUAUAGCUAAUGAGUCAACCUAUAUGGGCUGGACCACAGACUCGAACUGGGUGCUGUAGGCAAAGGUCGGGCCCGGGUGGGCUGGACCACGGACUCUAAUCGGGUACUGUAGCCAAAAUCAUAUCACAGGUAAGCUGGACCACGGACUCUAACCGGGUACUGUAGCCAAAAAUUAGAUCACAGCUAAGCUAGACCACAGACUCUAACCGGGUAAUGUAGCCAAAAAUCAGAUCACAGGUAAGCUGGACCACAGACUCUAAUCGGGUACUGUAGCCAAAAAUCAGAUCAUAGGUAAGCUAGACCACGGACUCUAACCGGGUACUGUAGCCAAUAGAAAAGCAGGGCAUUAUGGAUAGAAGGUCAUAAUCUGAGUUACCGCCUAGCUAAGGCUCAGAUUAUCAGACUCAAGUCUGCUAUAUCAGUCUACAAGGAGCUGACCGUCCAAAACGACGUCGUAAAAAGUUCUACUGCCCAACAACAUCCGAAACCUCGCACGUCUAUGUCAACACUAGUCUAAGCCUAGACUAAGGCCAAACAUACUUCAAAUCAAUAUUAUCAUAUACACCACAAGGUAUGGAUGUUCAAUAAUAUCAAGAGUCAUGCUGUCAUAAUUCAACAAUUUCCCGAAAUAAGGGCUAAGGCAGGAAUUAUAGAAAUUUAGCAUGCUCGACACCCGAACCCCUCCAUACUCAAGAAAAUCAAUAAACAAUUGCCUAAAUAUGCUCAAUCUCACGAGGGUAAAACCAUAGCCUACGUGAAAGCCGAUCACGCGUGCUCCAACUCAUGGUACCGGAGUUUUUCCCCUCCGAACGGUCUCCAAAUGCUUCCCCACUAUCAAAAGGUUAAUCACCUCAUCAUUACGAAUAUGUUGACACUAAAAUUAUAUUUUUCGGAGACGGACCCAAAAUUGGGUCUAAAACUGGAUUGUUGGACCCACAAUUGGAAUCCCGAAAACGAAUCCGUGAAAACGUCCCAAACACCUUACUAAACUAACACCCAAAAUUUAGCACAAAAAUAUGCCUAAAACAUAGCAAAUCAGCCCCAACAAUUAAAAUAAUUAAUAAGUCUUGACUUACGACUUGGCAGCCCCUUGAUCACCAAUUUCUGGAAAAACGAGACCCUUCCAACCCAAACAGAUUAUACCACGACGAUCCUUGCGAAAAACUCUACAAGUUAGCCUCAAGAAUGACUCAAAACGGACCUAAGAUGAUCAAGAUCUAACCUUUCAAAGUUCAACAACAAUUCAUUCCGAAAAUCACUCUAGCAGUAGCCAAAUUUGAUUCCUUACCUCAAACGAAGCAUCCCCUUGCGUUUCUGAGCUCACCUCUAGAUUUCCCACGAAAUUCUCUUGAAAUUAGCCUUUUGAAUCACCUAAUUUUAGCUUAAAAUGGAGGAGGUAUCUAUGUUUGAAGAUGAGGGAAAACAAAUGGACGAAAACUGUCCUUAAAUUUGGAAAUUUCCAGAUUUCAACACGCUGCCCCGUGGCUCUGCCACGUCACCACCGCAUUAGAAAUUCACAACUCUUCAAACUUAAAUUUCGAUGUUCCGGACUCGUUCGGAAUUGUAAAAACACAAACCAUAUAGGGAAUAUGAUUGGAAAUGAUAUUUCGGACUCAACGGUGAAGUCGGAAUUUCCAUUGGAGAUCGCUUCGAUGAAAAGGGGGUCCCACUCCAAGUAUCGUUUUGAGCAAAAUUCCACAACGGGCAUCUAAAGCCUCGGGAAGUGAAGAAAGGGUCGUUCUAGACCAAAAUCGAUAUUCCGAAGCUAACCUAGUUGUCAGAAUUUUCAUCUGAGCACGUCUUCCAAGAAGGUUGACCAAAGUCAACUUUUCAAGUUAUAAAAUCUCCAAAACAGGGAAACGGGCCUAAAACCCAAACGAACGACCAGGCAACCAAACAGUCAGUGCCAGCAAGUCAUAAAUGACCUGGGAUAGCUACAGGAACGCUCUAAACGAUGGAAUGAAUGCUUUAAUUUUAAAAUGACCUGGAGGGUAAUUACAAUAUCCACUACUAAAAGACUUUUCGUCCGCAAAAGUAAGAUUCAAGAAGUACAUUAAGGCUCAAAUAAGCCGGGGAACUGCGCCCGCAUCUCAUGCUCGGUCUCCCAGGUAGCCUCCUCAACUGGACGAUGUCUCCAAUGGACCCUAACCACAGGAAUGGCUCUGGAACGCAACCGUCUGACAUCUCUGGCCAAAAUAGCAACUGGCUCAUCAAUGUAUCUCAAACUGUCAUCCAAGUCAACUGCAUCAUACUGAAUCACAUGGGACUCAUCUGGAACAUACCGGCGCAACAUCGAAACAUGAAAAACUGGGUGAAUAGCUGAAAAGGCCGGGGGAAAACCUAACUCAUAUGCAACCUUUCCAACUGUCCUCAAUUUCUCAAAAGGACCUAUAUACCUGGGGCUAAGCUUGCCCCGCCUCCCAAAUCUCAUUACACCCUUCAUGGGCGACAGACGGAGGAAUACUCUAUCACCAACAGCAAAUUUCAACGGUCGACGCCUACGGUCUGCAUAACUCUGAUGUCUACUCUAGGCUGUCCUGAGCCUAUCUUGAAUCACCCUCACAUGAUCUAAAGCAUCUCGCAUCAAGUAUGUACCGCGUGGCCUGGACUCUGUAGACUCAAACCAACCAACUGGAGAGCGACAACGCCUACCAUAUAAGUCCUCGAAUAGGGCCAUCUGACUACUCGAGUGGUAGCUGUUGUUGUACGCAAACUCUGCCAAAGGCAAAUACUAGUCCCACUGACCCCCAAAAUCCAUAACACAAGCCCGCAACAUGUCCUCAAGAACCUGAAUCGUGCGCUCCGACUGACCAUCAGUUUGCGUGUGGAAAGCUAUACUAAGGUCAACACGGGUACCCAACUCAUCCUGGAAGGUCCUCCAGAAGCUAGAUGUGAACUGUGGGGCCCGGUCUGAGAUGAUGGAACAGGCACACCAUGAAGACGAACCACCUCUCGAAUGUAGAUACGGGCUAACCUCUCAGCACUGUAGGAAGUAUGGACAGGAAUUGAAGUGUGCUGACUUGGUCAAUCGAUCCACGAUGACCCAAAUACUAUCAAGACCAAAGGAACUGCGGGGUAAUCCUACAACGAAGUCCAUGGUGAUCCUCUCCCAUUUUCACUAACGAAUGGGUAAUCUCUGAAGCUCGCCACCAGGCCUCAAAUGCUCGGCCUUAACCUGCUGACAACUCAUGCAACGCGAUACAUAAUCCGCAAUAUCUCUCCUCAUGCCGCUCCACCAGUAGUGCUGUCUCAAGUCCUGAUACAUCUUAGCUAUGCCAGGAUGAAUAGAAUAUUUGGAGUCAUGGGCCUCGGUAAGAAUCAUCUGAAUCAAACCCCCAACUCUUGGAACACAAAGUCGAUCACCAAAUCUUAAAACCCCAUCUAAAUCUAAGGUAGCCAGGCCGGUGUCACCUACCAAAACUCGAUCUCGAAGUGCCAGUAAGUCCUCAUCCUCAAACUAACGGCUUCGAAUCCGAUCCAGCAGAGAUGACUGAGCAUCCACAUAAGCUAGUACACACCGGUUAUCAGAGAUAUCAAGCCGUAUCAUCCAGUUAGCUAAGGACUGGAUGUCCAAAGCUAAUGGUCGCUCCGUAGUAGAAAGAAAGGCUAGACUACCCAUACUCACUGCCUUCCGACUGAAGGCGUCCGCUACUACUUUCGCCUUGCCCGGAUGGUAGAGAAUAGAAAGGUCAUAGUUCUUCAGGAGCUCAAUCCAAUGGCGCUGUCUCGAAUUAAGAUCUCUCUGGCUCAUAAUGUACUGAAGGCUCCUGUGAUCAGUAUAGAUCUCGCAUCGAACUCCAUACAGGUAAUGCCUCCAAAUCUUAAGCCCAAAAUUAUUGCCGCCAACUCUAAGUCAUGAGUGGGGUAGUUGCGCUCGUGCGGCUUAAGCUGCCUCGACGCAUAAGCAAUAACGCGGCCCUGCUGCAUCAGUACACAACCCAAACCAAUGCCGGAUGCGUCACAAUAAACAGUAAACCCCACACUCUCAACUGGAAGAGUCAAUAUAGGAGCGGUGGUAAGCAACUCCUUAAGCCUCAGAAAGCUCCUCUCACACUCCUCCGACCACACAAACGGAACAUCCCGGCGAGUCAACCGAGUCAAAGGCAAUACACUAGGCCGAAUGAAUCCCUUAUAUAAAAGAUCCUGAAUCUGAACACUGAGCUCCUUGAGCUCUACGGGGGCCAUACGGUACGGUGGUAUAGAAAUGGGCUUAGUGCCAAGCUCUACUUCAAUAGGAAAGUCAAUGUCACGAUCAGGAGGGAGACCAGGCAGAUUGGCAGGAAACAUAUAUGUAAACUCUCGAACAAUAGGUACUGAAUCCACGGUAGGACCCUCCCUACUAACAUCUCUAACAUAAGCUAAAUAAGCCAAACACCCACUAGCCAUCAGCCUCUGGGCCCGAACAAAAGAUAUCACCCCAACUGGCGUGCGACUACAAGAGCCCCGCCACACCACUGGUGGAAUACCAGGCAUGGCUAAAGUAACGGUCUUGGCAUAGUAAUCCAAGAUCGCAUGGUGGGGGGAUAACCAAUCCAAACCCAAAAUCAAAUCAAAAUCCACCAUGUUAAGCAAAAUGAGAUCAACCCUAGUGUCUCGCCUCUGAAUAGUCACCACACAGGAUCUAAAUACCUGAUCCACUACUAAAGAAUCACCUACCGGGGUCGAAACACGCAACGACUCAACCAAUAGCUCUGGGCUUAUACUCAAUGGAGGAGCACAAUCAACAGAUUUAUAAGAAUAAGUAGAGCCUGGAUCAAAUAUGGCGGAUGCGGGAUGAUGGCACAAUAACACUGUACCUGUGAUCACAUCGUCUCAUACUCAAUCGAGGAGCACAAUAAACAGAUAUAUAGGAAUAAGUAGAGCCUGGAUCAAAUAAGGUGGAUGCGGGUUGAUGGCAUAAUAACACUGUACCUGUGAUCACAUCGUCCGAGGUCUCAGCAUCUGCUCUAGCUGGAGCUGCAUAAAAGUGGGCCUAGGCUCCCCUACCCUGUGCAUCGCCUCUGCCCCUAACCUGUCUCCUCGGGGACCACCCCUGCGGUCCUGUCCCUGGCCUCCGCCUCUAGCUGGAGGUGCUGGCGCUGGCGUUGGCGUAUGCCUAGCUGCCUGUGGAGCGGGUAAGGCUAACCUGCGAUGGGGACACUCGCGGGCCCAUUGAUCUAACUCCCCACACUCAUAGCACCCCUGGGACUGUCGACUGAGAGCUGGACAGUCAUAGCACCCCCGGCCAGAAGAGCCCAUCUGAGAACUAUCUCGACCCCGACUAGGACCGGCACUAAAACCAAUAUGGCGGUGCUGAUCACCGUCCGAUGCCUGGAGAGAGGCCUGGAAGGGGCGACUAGACUGACCCGACUGAAACCUCUGCUGAGAUCUUUCAUAAGACUCUCGGGGUCUGAAACGGCGUCUAUCAUGACUAUCCUCUUGUCUAGCUCUCUUGUCGCUGCCCCCUUGGGCCUCGCGACGGAGCUGCUCAAUAGUGCAGACAUGGUCCACUACAUCCAGAAAUGAGCGGCCCGCUGAGAAAAAAAGACUGAGUCUCAAUCCACAACUGUAGUCUCAAACCCCGAACAAAACAACGAACCCUCUCCUCCUCAGUAGGUAAUAUCAUACUCUGAUACUGUAAUGGAGCCCUGCUCUUACCGAGUAAACUGAUCUCUGAGCUGAUCUCUGAUGCUCCUGGGAAUAAAUCGGGCCAAGAAGGCCUUUGAAAACUCAGUCCAUGUGACCGGUGGGGACCCAGCUGGCCUGGUCUCUAAGUAUGAACGCCACCACUGCCUGGCGGGACCAUCUAGCAGGUAAGCGGUGAAGUCUGCUCUUCUCGACUCCACUAAACCCAAAGUCUGUAGCUGCUCGCGGCAAGUAAGUAGUAAUUCAUGGGCAUCCUCACCCACAGCCCCAGAAAACCUCGGCGGUGAUAGUCUAAGGAACACCCCGAGCAUCUUCUUCUCCCGAAGUGGCAUGACGCCCUCCAACUCGUCAGGCUGAACAACCGGUGCCGCUGGUGCAGGCUGGCCCUGCGGUACUAGGGCCUGCUGCAUACCCCCAAUGGAAGCUAGUAUCUGUACGAGCAUAGUCUGUAUACCUGGAGCUGCCACAGGCUCGGGCGGUGGCUCUAUCACCGGCUACGGAGUUUGCUCUCGGUCCUGGGCUGGUGCUGUAGUUCUGGCACGACCUCGAGGUCGGCCUCUACCCCUAGCUGGGGCCCUACCACACGUGCGAUCCAUCCCCGUAAAAUAAUGGAACAAGUAAGAUUUUCAGAAACCGAGAAGACAUACAAUGCACGACAGUGAUACAAAAGUGAUAUGUUCCUAAAGACAUCUUGUAGCCUCCCGAAGAUAAGUAACGGACGUCUCCGUACCUAUCUACAGGACUCUACUAAAUGUUAGCUUUGUACAAGUGAGACCGACGAACCUAGGGCUCUGAUACCAAUUUGUCAAGACCUAAUUUCUCAGGUCCUGAUAGCGCCUACUAUAUGACCCACUAGUAGGCAAACCGACCCAUAUCCCGGAACUCGAAGUAAUGGGAUGUUAGGGUAGAAAACAAUCAAUCAACCUAAAAUAGUAAUAAAUAAAACAAGAACAUGCAAUGAACGGGCGGAAGCGACUAGACCUAUAUACACAAAAUAAAUUCCUCCCAAAACCUGGAAGUCACAAAUACAGAGCUGCUAACAAAAGUACAAGUCCUAAAAGUGGACCACAGAAACAAGCUGUCUCAAAAGGCAAAAGACAAGCAAAAGUAAGUACAGAAGGAGACGGGCAAAUCCAGGACGUUGUAUGCUCACCCUUGCCUCCGAUCACGACCGCAUCUGGCUC
rnacentral:lncRNA from 1 species